rnacentral:rRNA from 1 species
CCUACGGGGUGCUGCAGUGGGGAAUAUUGGACAAUGGGCGAAAGCCUGAUCCAGCCAUGCCGCGUGUGUGAAGAAGGCCUUCGGGUUGUAAAGCACUUUCAGUGGGGAAGAAAGCCUUGGGGCUAAUACCCUCGAGGAAGGACAUCACCCACAGAAGAAGCACCGGCUAACUCCGUGCCAGCAGCCGCGGUAAUACGGAGGGUGCGAGCGUUAAUCGGAAUUACUGGGCGUAAAGCGCGCGUAGGCGGUCUGAUAAGCCGGUUGUGAAAGCCCCGGGCUCAACCUGGGAACGGCAUCCGGAACUGUCAGGCUAGAGUGCAGGAGAGGAAGGUAGAAUUCCCGGUGUAGCAGUGAAAUGCGUAGAGAUCGGGAGGAAUACCAGUGGCGAAGGCGGCCUUCUGGACUGACACUGACGCUGAGGUGCGAAAGCGUGGGUAGCAAACAGGAUUAGAUACCCCCGUAGUC